rnacentral:lncRNA from 1 species
GGAUAUGGACUUCCUUCUCAUGCACAAGACUUCUCACGCCCCAAAAUUUUUCUCCCAAAAUCUUCUUCUUGCACACCCCACUCUUCUCCUCCUUUUAUAACAACGUCAAACGUCUUAUCCAAAAGAAAGGAUAAAGAUGAGUAAUUACACAUUUGAAUUCAAAUCAAAUUUUGAAUUCAAAUGGAUACCAACUCAUCCCUUAUCCACUAAAGGUGUGAGGCGUGGCUUAAAUUAUGCAUGGAGUGAUUCAUGAGAAACCUUUUCUCAUGUAAUAAAUGGAGCGU